GAUGAGAACGUAGCGAAAUGCGAUAAGUAAUGUGAAUUGCAGAAUUCAGUGAAUCAUCGAAUCUUUGAACGCACCUUGCACCCUUUGGUAUUCCGAAGGGUAUGCUCGUUUGAGUGUCAUUGUACUCUCACACUUCUAAUUCCUUUCGGGAUUGGGAGCGGUGGACUUGGGUGUUGCUGCUUUAGUUGUGGCUCACCUCAAAUAAGUUAGUGCAACUCUUGGUUGGACAUAGUACGGCGUGAUAAGUGUCUUCGCCGGCGCCUCUGUAAGGAGGGUGGCCGAUCGGGAGCUCUGUGCUUCAAACCGUCUUCGGACAAUCUUUGACAACUUGACCUCAAAUCGAGUAGGACUACCCGCUGAACUUAAGCAUAUCAAUAAGCGGAGGA
rnacentral:misc_RNA from 1 species